rnacentral:lncRNA from 10 species
GGAGCAGUCGGCCUCCUCCCUCCGCGAGCUGGACGCUCCGCAGCCCGCCCGCCAGCCGGCCCGCCGGCCGCCGCAGGAAUCCCUGGAUAAAGACCAGCUCAACCAUCGCUGAGAAAACAGACCUAGGCUUCCCAGGGCGGUUAACCCGCCGGCCUCUGGGCAGAGACUAAAAGACAAAACAAAAUAAAACAACAACAAAAAACUCCCAGUGUGUUUCCUACUCUUCUUUGUCUUGGAGGAAAGCAAAGGGAGAGAAAUGGACUUCACCAGUGGUCUUUGGCUUCAUCAAUUCACAGGAAAUGGCAUCAAGAUGGUUCAACUAAGACAUGAUCACUAAAAACAUUAUAAUAAUACCUUUUUGAAAAACUCAGUUUCUCCUGUUUACUAAAUAUUUAUUUCAUCAACAUGGGCUGCGUUCCACUGUGUCAGGAUUCUGCAUGUGGGUGGAGCACUGUUCCAGCCUGAGAAGAUGGUUCUGAGGCCACUUAGCAAGACAUUUUCCAGCAUGAGCAGGUUUCUCUGUGGAAAUAGUGACACCUGUUCUGGUGUGUUGUCUUUCCUCAGGGAACUUAAGGGGUACAAAGCUCCUGAAAAUGUUCUUUAUGCUGGUUGAAGCUCUUAUGUCGCUGUACUGAUUCCCUACGAUGCAGAUUUGAAUCACAGAGUAAUUAAAAUAUGGAUCAAAUAAGGCUGGGGCUCACCAAGGCUGAAAGCUGUAGCCAUUCAAGGCAUCAUUUCUGUCAUGAAAAUAUAGGACCUUUUCAAAACAUGCCUUCAGGAAGGUGUUCUCUUUUCAAACAAAAGUCUAAUGACUGCAUAACUCUUCUUGACCACAUCUUACACUUUCUCUAGACUUGCUUAUUUACAGCUACUGGAACAAAAAGAUGAAAUGAAUAAAGCACACUGAUUGUCCUAAGAGUCUUCUGUGACUAAAAGCACAUGAGCUUCUCCCCAGGCUGAGCUUUGACCCUCCCAAGCAUUUCCCCAAAGGCCAUGACACUGCAUCAGAUUGCUCCUGGACACUUUCCUCAGAGUUUUCAACAAAUAUAAACUGAGGAGUGGAGCACAGCACCAGAUUUGCUAAUCAAGAGGCAAUGGUCCCAGUCCAAAUGGGUGCUGUGUGUGAAUACAGAGCCCAGGAGAAGGGAAGGAGGUCUGUGAACAUCAGGAAUUGCAAAAUCUUGCUGAACCAAUAGACCAACAGCCAUUAACAUUUGUCAAUGCAAAGAUCCUAAAAUAUACAAGUGUGGAGUUGUCCUGCCCUAAGAGCUGAAGCUGUGACAAUCACGCUGCCAUGAAAAAAACGCUUUCGUAUAUUUUUCCUGCUGGGUGGUCAGAAGGAAAGGCCGUGAAGCUAAAGGUCUCCCACUGAGACGCUGUUCUGCAAGGAGCCGACCUCACGUGCCGCCGCCGCCAGAGAAGAGAGCACCUGUUCAUCUCGGCUCACUGUGAGGCUGAGCUCAGCGCUGGCAGGCGAGGGGCCGCAAGCAUCCCCCACAGCCACCGAGAGGGCAUCCCUGCAGGGAAAUCAUAUCCGACAUGCCUGUGCCCACAGCAGACUUAAGACUGCCUCUAAAAUGUCCAUGAAGCCAUUGUCCAGUAGAGCUGUUAGUUUUAACACCAGUGAGUAUUACCUUUGGUUAAAAGGAUGCAUGUGUAUAGGUGUAUGUGUGUGCGUGUGUGUUUGUGUUUUUGGACUUGUGUGGAGAAUGAAGAAAGGGUUCCAUUUAGGCAUUUGCAAAUAUUCGAUGGCAUCAUGAAAAGACAAAAAAAUCCUAUAAAAUAUAUCAUAUUUUGCUAUGAUUUUGUGUGUACAUGUAAUAAAAUUAUUAAGUAUAAA